GAUGAACGCUGGCAGCGUGCCUAAUACAUGCAAGUCGAACGAAGCCUUCGGGCUUAGUGGCGAACGGGUGAGUAACACGUUGGUACCUGCCCUCUAGUGGGGAAUAACUGGCCGAAAGGUCGGCUAAUACCGCAUAAUACCGCAAGGUUAAAGCAGCAAUGCGCUAGAGGAGGGGCCUGCGUCCCAUUAGCUUGUUGGUAGUGUAAUGGACUACCAAGGCGACGAUGGGUAGCUGGAUCGAGAGGUUGACCAGCCACACUGGGACUGAGAUACGGCCCAGACUCCUACGGGAGGCAGCAGUAAGGAAUCUUCCACAAUGGACGAAAGUCUGAUGGAGCAACGCCGCGUGCAGGAUGACGGCCUUCGGGUUGUAAACUGCUUUUAUAUGGGAAGAUUAUGACGGUACCAUAUGAAUAAGGACCGGCUAACUACGUGCCAGCCGCCGCAGUAA
rnacentral:rRNA from 1 species